AUUUUUCAGGAAAAAAUGCUGUAAGGGUUAUAAGUUUGUUCUUGGACAGUGCAUCCCUGAAGACUAUGAUGUGUGUGCUGAAGCUCCUUGUGAACAGCAGUGCACAGAUAACUUCGGACGGGUGCUGUGCACUUGCUAUCCUGGGUACCGCUACGAUCGGGAGAGACACAGGAACAGGGAGAAGCCCUAUUGCCUGGACAUUGAUGAGUGUGCCGCCAGCAAUGGGACACUGUGCUCACAGAUCUGUGUCAACACCGUGGGCAGCUACAGGUGUGAGUGCCACGAAGGCUACACGCGGGGGGAGGACGGCAGGACGUGCACCAAGGGAGAUAAAGGUACGUGCCGUUGGGGUUA